rnacentral:rRNA from 1 species
GACGAACGCUGGCGGCGCGCUUAACACAUGCAAGUCGAGCGAGAACCAGGACUUCGGUCCUGGGGACAGCGGCGAACGGGUGAGUAACACGUGGAUAACCUGCCCUCGGCACCGGUAUAGCCCGAGGAAACUCGGAUUAAUACCGGAUAGCCCUUCCGACUCUCGAGUCGGUCCGAAAAGGUAGCUUCGGCCUCUGGCCGAGGAUGGGUCCGCGGCGGAUUAGCUUGUUGGUGGGGUAACGGCCUACCAAGGCAUCGAUCCGUAGCUGGUCUGAGAGGACGAUCAGCCACACUGGGACUGAGACACGGCCCAGACUCCUACGGGAGGCAGCAGUGGGGAAUCUUGCGCAAUGGGCGAAAGCCUGACGCAGCGACGCCGCGUGAGGGAAGAAGGCCU